rnacentral:rRNA from 1 species
UACAGAGGUCCCAAGCGUUGUUCGGAUUCACUGGGCGUAAAGGGUGCGUAGGUGGUGAGGUAAGUCGGAUGUGAAAUCUCCGGGCUCAACCCGGAAAUGGCAUUGGAAACUACCUUGCUGGAGGAUUUGAGGGGGGAUUGGAAUACUUGGUGUAGCAGUGAAAUGCGUAGAUAUCAAGUGGAACACCAGUGGCGAAGGCGAAUCCCUGGAAAACUCCUGACACUGAGGCACGAAAGCUAGGGGAGCAAACAGG